GGAAUAUUGGUCAAUGGGUGAGAGCCUGAACCAGCCAUGCCGCGUGCAGGAAGACGGCCUUCUGGGUUGUAAACUGCUUUUACCUGGGGAUAAAAACACUGUGCGCAGUGGAUUGAAGGUACCAGGGGAAUAAGCCACGGCUAACUACGUGCCAGCAGCCGCGGUAAUACGUAGGUGGCGAGCGUUGUCCGGAUUUAUUGGGUUUAAAGGGUGCGUAGGCGGCUUAUUAAGUCAGUGGUGAAAGACGGCAGCUUAACUGUCGAGGUGCCAUUGAUACUGAUGAGCUAGAGUACUGAUGAGGUAGGCGGAAUGGACGGUGUAGCGGUGAAAUGCAUAGAUAUCGUCCAGAACACCGAUAGCGAAGGCAGCUUACUAAGGAGUAACUGACGCUGAGGCACGAAAGUGUGGGGAUCAAACAGGAUUAGAUACCCUGGUAGUCCACACUGUAAACGAUGAUCACUAGAUGUUGGCGAUACACAGCCAGCGUUCCAGCAAAAGCGAUAAGUGAUCCACCUGGGGAGUACGCCGGCAACGGUGAAACUCAAAGGAAUUGACGG
rnacentral:rRNA from 1 species